rnacentral:rRNA from 1 species
UGAAUACGAGACGCUAAGGCGUCGAAGUAGUGUAUGUCAUACUUCCAAGAAAAGCUUGCACUGUCAUAGAUAAAAAACGCCUGUACCAUAACCGACACAGGUGGGUAGGUAGAGUAUACUAAGGGGCGCGAGAUAACUCUCUCUAAGGAACUCGGCAAAAUAACUCCGUAACUUCGGGAGAAGGAGUGCCUUAUUUUUAAGGCUGCAAUAACAAGAUCCAAGCAACUGUUUAUCAAAAACACAGGUCUCCGCUAAGUCGUAAGACGAUGUAUGGGGGCUGACGCCUGCCCAGUGCCAGAAGGUUAAAGAAGUUGGUUAGCUUUUGCGAAGCUGAUAACUGAAGCCCUGGUGAACGGCGGCCGUAACCAUAACGGUCCUAAGGUAGCGAAAUUCCUUGUCGGGUAAGUUCCGACCCGCACGAAAGGCGUAAUGAUUUGGAUACUGUCUCGGAGAGGGGCUCGGUGAAAUAGACUUGUCUGUGAAGAUGCGGACUACCUGCACCAGGACAGAAAGACCCUAUGAAGCUUUACUGUAACUUGAAAUUGAAAUUGGACUUUAUUCGCGCAGCAUAGGUGGGAGGCGUUGAUUAUAAUCUCGUGGGAUUAUUGGAGCCAUCAGUGAGAUACCACUCUUGUAAUGUUAGAUUUCUAACUUUGAAUCAUUAUCUGGUCAAAGAACAGUUUCAGGCGGGCAGUUUGACUGGGGCGGUCGCCUCCUAAACGGUAACGGAGGCGUACAAAGGUUUCCUCUGAACGGUUAGAAAUCGUAUCUAGAGUGUAAAGGCAUAAGGAAGCUUGACUGUGAGACCUACAAGUCGAGCAGGGACGAAAGUCGGUCUUAGUGAUCUGACGGUACUGAGUGGAAAGGCCGUCACUCAACGGAUAAAAGUUACUCUAGGAUAACAGGCUGAUCUCCCCCAAGAGUUCACAUCGACGGGGAGGUUUGGCACCUCGAUGUCGGCUCAUCGCAUCCUGGGGCGGUAGUACGUCCCAAGGGUUGGGCUGUUCGCUCAUGAAAGCGGUACGCGAGCUGGGUUCAGAACGUCGUGAGACAGUUCGGUCCAUAUCCGGUGUAGGCGUUAGAAUAUUGAGAGGAGCCUUCUUUAGUACGAGAGGACCGAGAAGGACAUACCUCUGGUGUACCAGUUAUCGUGCCAACGGUAAACGCUGGGUAGCUAUGUAUGGAGUGGAUAACCGCUGAAAGCAUCUAAGUGGGAAGCCCACCUCAAGAUAAGUAUUCUCC